rnacentral:rRNA from 1 species
UGGGGAAUAUUGGACAAUGGGCGCAAGCCUGAUCCAGCCAUGCCGCGUGUGUGAAGAAGGCCUUUUGGUUGUAAAGCACUUUAAGCGAGGAGGAGGCUACUUGGAUUAAUACUCUAGGAUAGUGGACGUUACUCGCAGAAUAAGCACCGGAUAACUCUGUGCCAGCAGCCGCGGUAAUACAGAGGGUGCGAGCGUUAAUCGGAUUUACUGGGCGUAAAGCGUGCGUAGGCGGCUUCUUAAGUCGGAUGUGAAAUCCCUGAGCUUAACUUAGGAGUUGCAUUCGGUACUGGGAAGCUAGAGGAUGGGAGAGGAUGGUAGAAUUCCAGGGGUAGCGGUGAAAUGCGUAGAGAUCUGGAGGAAUACCGAUGGCGAAGGCAGCCAUCUGGCCUAAUACUGACGCUGAGGUACGAAAGCAAGGGGAGCAAACAGG